AGCGAACGCUGGCGGCAGGCCUAAUACAUGCAAGUCGAGCGCACCUUCGGGUGAGCGGCGGACGGGUGAGUAACGCGUGGGAACGUGCCCUUUGGUACGGGAUAACUGAGGGAAACUUCAGCUAAUACCGUAUGUGCCCUAUGGGGGAAAGAUUUAUCGCCAUUGGAGCGGCCCGCGUUGGAUUAGGUAGUUGGUGCGGUAAAGGCUCACCAAGCCUACGAUCCAUAGCUGGUCCGAGAGGAUGAUCAGCCACACUGGGACUGAGACACGGCCCAGGAUCCUACGGGAGGCAGCAGUAGAGAAUCGUGCGCAAUGGAGGAUUGCAUGACGCAGCCAUGACGCGUGUAGGAUGAAGGUCUUAGGAUUGGAAAAUACUUUCACCGGGGAAGAUAAUGACGGUACCCGGAGAAGAAGCCCCGGCUAACUUCGUGCCAGCAGCCGCCGUAACAC
rnacentral:rRNA from 1 species